rnacentral:rRNA from 1 species
AUUGAACGCUGGUGGUAUGCUUAACACAUGCAAGUCGAACGGUAACAUUGGAGCUUGCUCCAGAUGACGAGUGGCGGACGGGUGAGUAACGCGUAGGAAUCUGCCUAGUAGUGGGGGACAACAUGUGGAAACGCAUGCUAAUACCGCAUACGCCCUACGGGGGAAAGCGGGGGAUCUUCGGACCUCGCGCUAUUAGAUGAGCCUGCGUUAGAUUAGCUUGUUGGUGGGGUAAUGGCCUACCAAGGCGACGAUCUAUAGCUGGUCUGAGAGGACGAUCAGCCACACUGGGACUGAGACACGGCCCAGACUCCUACGGGAGGCAGCAGUGGGGAAUAUUGGACAAUGGGCGCAAGCCUGAUCCAGCAAUACCACGUGUGUGAAGAAGGCCUGAGGGUUGUAAAGCACUUUCAAUUGGGAGGAAAACAGCUGGGUUAAUAGCCCUGCUCUUGACAUUACCUUUAGAAGAAGCACCGGCUAACUCCGUGCCAGCAGCCGCGGUAAUACGGAGGGUGCGAGCGUUAAUCGGAAUUACUGGGCGUAAAGCGUACGUAGGCGGUUAUUUAAGUCAGAUGUGAAAGCCCCGGGCUCAACCUGGGAACUGCAUUUGAAACUGGAUAACUAGAGUUUGAUAGAGGAGAGUAGAAUUUCUGGUGUAGCGGUGAAAUGCGUAGAGAUCAGAAGGAAUACCAGUGGCGAAGGCGGCUCUCUGGAUCAAAACUGACGCUGAGGUACGAAAGCGUGGGUAGCAAACAGGAUUAGAUACCCUGGUAGUCCACGCCGUAAACGAUGUCAACUAGCCGUUGGGUCCAAUUAAGGACUUAGUGGUGCAGCUAACGCAUUAAGUUGACCGCCUGGGGAGUACGGCCGCAAGGCUAAAACUCAAAUGAAUUGACGG